UAUUCUCUCAGGCCCUCAGCUUGGAGAGUAGCAGCGCUUACCUCACAGGGCUGCUGGCAGGUAGCAGGACACGCCCCCUACACUGCUCCCCCCCCCCCCCACAGUGUCUGGCAUGUAACAGGAAAUCAGCGGGGUGGGGGCGGCCUUCCUGUCUGGUGCUCCUGGAUAUGCUAAUGCGUGUUCAUUCUCAAAUCCUCCUCCCCUCAAACCCCUGCCGGGACCUGGUGGAAAGAACUGCAGGGCUGAGCUGGUGGCUUCUCCUUAUGUGACUGGCCCUUGGGGUUGAUGUUACUGCCUCCCCAUGUGUCUUGCUGGCCUGGGAGCUUCCUCAGAGGGCACACGGGCUGGGAUGGCCCUAAGGUAGGAUUAUGUCUGCCUGGCCUCUGGGGCUCCUGGUGCCUCCUGCAGCCCCUACCUGGCCCUGGAAGAAAAGCAGUGACUUAGAUGGUGCCUGAAGCCUCUGAAGGACCUCCUGGAUGUGCUGUGACCUUCCUUACCCUGAUGAAUACCAGAGGAACCCGGCAGACAGCCUAGGCAGGAUGUGGGGUUCUCUGAGCUCAGCCAUCCAGUGGCAGAACUUUGAGCUGGAAUGGGAGCAGCUGGGGCUGAGAACAAGUUCCUGGGGGGCACAGUAAGUAAAUGAAGCCAUGAAAAAUGAGCAUUUUGGGGAGGCCGAGGGAAAGAAGAAGUUUUCCAGGCAGUAGAAAAUGACUGGGCACAUCUUCAAAGUGGGAAGUGAAGCAUCAAACCCAGGCUGGCUAAGUCCUUUAAGGUCCUGAGCACUGACAGGAUCACAGUGGUGCUCAGUCCCACCCUGUGUAGCUCAAAAUCAAGUUUAUUCUCCACAGUGACACUAAGCUUCCUUGCCAGUUGAAGUUAAAAGAGCCUCUUUCUAGUUUCUGGAUUGCAAUCUCACGGGUAAGUGCACAGAUGCAGGACUGUCUCAUUUUUGAUGCCAUGCUGCAUUAGCACCUGAGGCAUGGGCUCCCUCUGCCUCUCAGGUCAUGUAUGGGCACCCAGGGUGAAUGAUGAGCGGGGUGGGUGGGGAUAGGGGGCCUGAAAAGAACUUGCCGGCACUCCUACAGCACCUGUGAUUCAGAGCACCCUGAGCCAAGGGAGCACCCUGGCCUGGAGCUGCUCUCUCAGCAGGGAGGAAGGAGAAGCUUUGGCCCAGACUGGAAACUCCAAAUCCUUGCUGGAAGGCCUGUAGUGAGUGGGUGGCCUGUCUCACCCUCUGCACACCCCGCCCUAUUUAUUGAGAUUUCUGUGCAGCCUGAACUCUUGUAGGGAGGUGUUAUCUUCUGGACCAGAGCCCUGUCUGCAAUGAAGCCACUGUGGUGUCCUAAGGGCUUC
rnacentral:lncRNA from 13 species